UUCCGGGGGUCAGCUCCUAUAGAAAUGUUCUGUGUGGCAUGUCCUCCUGGUACAUACAGUGACGGGGUAGUCUCUUAUUGUACAGAAUGUAAAAGUGGCUAUUACCAAAAGCUUUCAGGACAAUCAACUUGCAAACAGUGCCCGCCUGGUACAACUACAACUGGCACGGGAUCAACUGAAUGUGCGAGGGUACCGAUGUAACAUUAUCAACACGCGAACUUAACCAUGGCAACGAUUUAUACAUGUUUUUAAAACAUGCCUCUGACUUUGUUUUAUUUUUAUUUUUUAUUUUUUGAAAAUUCGCACAAUCAUUCAAAAGUGUUAGAUAUUUGCAAAGUAUUUAUACAUUUUUUUUACAAUACACUGUCAAUAUUUUUUUCGGAUAUAUUCAACAAAUAGAGUAAGAAAAUUGUUUGAUUUUGCAGGUUUCUUAGGACAUUUAAAAGAAUCUAUCGUAGAUACUAAAAUUAUUACGCUCAUGUAAAUUAUUUCUUUUCAAAGGUUUCCACUGAUAUUUGUAACAUAUUUUGCAAUAAUCUGGCACACGAUCAGUUUUUAAAAUAAAUGCAAAAUAGACUCUGAUUAUCUUUCAUAUUGGAUAACUAUGGUUAUGAUGACCGAUCAAAAACAAUUUAAAGUCGUACUUUUAUUGAAUUACCAUGAGGCAGUUAGGAUUGCUUUGAACAUACUAGUACUUUACAGACUUAGGAAAGUUUUCUGAACAUAGUUAAAUGAUCGACAAAAUAUACAUAUGUUUAUUUUGGUUUGUCAGCUCUUUCCUUUUAAAAUUGAAGUGUUGAAAUUAUUUACAGAAGUGAUGUUAAGAGACCAUUAUUUAAGUAUCUAAUUCAAGGCUUCAUAGAAAUAACAGUUUCAAUUUCCAUAAAACAGGUUAGUUGUAUGGAGAAUAAACGUUAACUGAG